GUUUGUAGCUCAGUAGGAAGAGCAACGGUUUCCUAAACCGGAGAUCGCGGGUUCGACUCCCGCCAGGCCC
rnacentral:tRNA from 1 species